rnacentral:sRNA from 1 species
AUGGCUGUCGUCAGCUCGUGUCGUGAGAUGUAUGGUUAAGUCCAGUAACGAGCGCAACCCCUAUCCUUAUUUGCCAGCGCGUAAUGGCGGGAACUAUAGGGAGACUGCCGGGUGAAACCCGGAGGAAGGCGGGGACGAGGUCAAGUCAUCAUGGCCCUUAUGGAUUGGGCUACACACGUGCUACAAUGGGAAGUACAGAGGGAUGCGAAAGCGCGAGCUGGAGCCAAACCCUUAAAACUUUUCUUAGUCCGGAUUGGAGUCUGCAACUCGACUCCAUGAAGUUGGAAUCACUAGUAAUCGCGAAUCAGAAUGUCGCGGUGAAUACGUUCUCGGGCCUUGUACACACCGCCCGUCACAUCAUGGAAGUGGGUUGCACCAGAAGUGGUUAGUCUAACCUUCGGGAAGACGAUCACCACGGUGUGAUUCAUGACUGGGAUGAAGUCGUAACAAGGUAGCCCUAGGGGAACCUGGGGCUGGAUCACCUCCUUAAAAUAAAACGUUUUUUUGUAGGCGUUCACACGAAUUACUUAUUUCUUUUUAUCUUUUUUAGAUAAAGAAGAGUUCUUUAACAUUUUUAUAAGUUCAAUCAAGUCAUAUCAUGAAUAUUUAUAUUCAUUGGUAUGCAAAUUAACUAUUCUUCAGAUCUUCAUAUUUAUAUGAAUAUUUGUUGAAUAAAACUAUUCUUCAGAUCUUCAUAUUUAUAUGAAUAUUUGUUGAAUAACUGCAAAGUAAUUUGGCGUUUUUUGUGUUUUUUAAAACACAAUUUUGUGUCUUUUAGACACAAUAAGUAGAUAGAAAUGCUUGGUAUAUAUCAUUAAGUUAAUUGAUGUAAUAUGGUCAAGUAGUGAAGUGCAAACGGUGGAUGCCUUGGCAGCUAGAGGCGAUGAAGGACGUAGUAACUUGCGAUAAGCUUCGGGGAGUCGGUAACAGACUUUGAUCCGGAGAUUUCCGAAUGGGGAAACCCGG